AACAAGGUCUCCGUUGGUGAACCAGCGGAGGAAUCAUUGCGAGCGCGCAUUCCGCGCACCGAGAAACCCUUUGUGAACUUAUACCUUACUGUUGCCUCGGCGCAGGCCGGCCUCUGCUGAGGCCCCCCGGAGACGGGGAGCAGCCCGCCGGCGGCCAACCAAACUCUUGUUUCUACAGUGAAUCUCUGAGUAAAAAACAUAAAUGAAUCAAAACUUUCAACAACGGAUCUCUUGGUUCUGGCAUCGAUGAAGAACGCAGCGAAAUGCGAUAAGUAAUGUGAAUUGCAGAAUUCAGUGAAUCAUCGAAUCUUUGAACGCACAUUGCGCCCUCUGGUAUUCCGGAGGGCAUGCCUGUUCGAGCGUCAUUUCAACCCUCAAGCCUGGCUUGGUGUUGGGGCACUGCUCCGAGAGGAGCAGGCCCUGAAAUCUAGUGGCGAGCUCGCUAGGACCCCGAGCGUAGUAGUUAUAUCUCGUUCUGGAAGGCCCUGGCGGUGCCCUGCCGUUAAACCCCCAACUUCUGAAAUUUUGACCUCGGAUCAGGUAGGAAUACCCGCUGAACUUAAGCAUA
rnacentral:rRNA from 1 species